rnacentral:pre_miRNA from 1 species
AAAAAGACAAACUCUGAGUUUCCGUGUCCAACGUUUGACUGUUCGUCUUAUAUGAAUUUUUUUUAUAAUUAGUACUUUUUAUUGUUAUUAGAUGAUAAAAUAUGAUUAAUAUUUUAUGCGUGUCUUUUUAAUUUUUUUUUUAAUUUUUUUUUUCAAAUAAGACGGACGAUCGACAUAAAACCCAAG